UACGUAGGGGGCAAGCGUUGUCCGGAAUCAUUGGGCGUAAAGCGCGUGUAGGCGGCUCGAUAAGUCUGCUGUGAAAGUCCAGGGCUCAACCCUGGAAUGCCGGUGGAAACUGUCGAGCUAGAGUCCGGAAGAGGCGAGUGGAAUUCCUGGUGUAGCGGUGAAAUGCGCAGAUAUCAGGAGGAACACCAAUGGCGAAGGCAGCUCGCUGGGACGGUACUGACGCUGAGGAGCGAAAGCGUGGGGAGCGAACAGG
rnacentral:rRNA from 1 species